AGUACACCUGGACGCCCAAAACCAAGGCCGUUUGUCCCCUGAAGGCGGCCAUCGAGCAGCUCAACACGCAGGAGGUGGAGGUGCGGAUGCGACUGGCCGAGCUCCAGCGCCGCUACAAGGAGAAGCAGCGGGAGCUGGUGAAGCUGCAGCGGCGGCAUGACCACGAGCGUGACGAGAGCUCCCGGAGCCCGGCGCGGCGCGGCCCGGGGCGGCCGAGGAAGCGCAAGCACUCCAGCACGCUGGGCAGGGCCGAGAGCCGCAAGGUCAAGUGAGUGACCGACGCCGCGUGCCCUCCUUGUCCCCGGGGACGGGCCACUAGCCCUGCUGCCGGGGGCCGGGGGGGUCUGGCCAUCCCACCGCGGGGGUGGCAUUUCCCUGGGACCCCUCGCCGCAUCCCUCCCACCAGCAGCAGCCGCCACGUUUCAGGGGGUCCGGCGCGCUCCCCGCUCUCCUUGCUUGGAGGGGGAGAGGGUGGGGGGGUCUCGGCUGGGCGGCAGCACCGUGUGUCCCCCCCCCUCCCCUCCCCGCCGGCCGCGGGAGCAGCGUUGCAUAAAAGCCUCUUUAUCUGCGCCGUAUAAAGCCAUUGGUCACGCUGCAGCGGCGUUCAUCGCUGCCGGCGCUUUAUUAUUACCCAUUAGCCGCCCGGCGCAGCCGUUUCCCCACUCCCGGGCCCUGUAUAAUUGUCCUUCUCUGCUACAAAUUGCCUCUCCCGACAGGCCCAUUUGCAUAAAUCCUCCGAGCGAGUCCAAACACGCUUGGAGCGCGUGUGCGCGCGCGGCCCCCGGCCCCCCCGCUCGGUAAUAACAGUUAAAUCUGCGCUAAAUGGUUCCUUCAAUUAAGACGGAGGGGAAGGGGAAGAAGAAAAAAAAAAAAAAAAAAUUAAUCUCUAGGUUUUAUGUCACAAAACAUUAGUGAGCGAGUGAAG